rnacentral:lncRNA from 1 species
AAGGGAACGCCAUCGUUUGAAAAGUGUUGCAGUAAGACGCACACAUUGUGCCACCACUGUGGCUCUAAGGCCUGCCACCUUCAGAAGUCAUCCUGUGGCAAAUGUGGCUACCCUGCUAAGUGCAAGAGGAAGUAUAACUGAAGUGCCAAGGCUUAAAGAUGAAAUAAUACCAGGACUGGUCGAAUGAGGCACCUGAAUAUUGUAUACCGCAGAUUCAGGCGUGGAUUCUGAGAAGGAACAACAUCUAAACCCAAGAGGGCAGCUGUUGUAGCAUCCAGUUUAUCUUA